GAUGAAGAACGUAGCGAAAUGCGAUAAGUAAUGUGAAUUGCAGAAUUCAGUGAAUCAUCGAAUCUUUGAACGCACAUUGCGCCCCCUGGUAUUCCGGGGGGCAUGCCUGUCCGAGCAUCAUUACAACCCUCAAGCUCAGCUUGGUAUUGGGCCCCGCCGACCCGGCGGGCCCUAAAGUCAGUGGCGGUGCCGUCCGGCUCCGAGCGUAGUAAUUCUUCUCGCUCUGGAGGUCCGGUCGUGUGCUCGCCAGCAACCCCCAAUUUUUUUCAGGUUGACCUCGGAUCAGGUAGGGAUACCCGCUGAACUUAAGCAUAUCAAUAAGCGGAGGA
rnacentral:misc_RNA from 1 species